rnacentral:rRNA from 1 species
AGUCACUGACAUUAGAUACCCCCGUAGUCCAGGGUGUAAACGCUGCAGACUUGGUGUUGGAAGCCCUUUGGGGGCAUUCAGUGCCGGAGAGAAGUUGUUAAGUCUGCUACUUGGGGAGUACGUCCGCAAGGAUGAAACUUAAAGGAAUUGGCGGGGAGCACCACAACGGGUGGAGCCUGCGGUUUAAUUGGACUCAACGCCGGAAAUCUCACCGGAUAGGACAGACAUAUGAUAGUCGGGCUGAAGACUCUACUUGAUGAUCUG